rnacentral:rRNA from 1 species
AGCAGCCGCGGUAAUACGAAGGGACCUAGCGUAGUUCGGAAUUACUGGGCUUAAAGAGUUCGUAGGUGGUUGAAAAAGUUGGUGGUGAAAUCCCAGAGCUUAACUCUGGAACUGCCAUCAAAACUUUUCAGCUAGAGUAUGAUAGAGGAAAGCAGAAUUUCUAGUGUAGAGGUGAAAUUCGUAGAUAUUAGAAAGAAUACCAAUUGCGAAGGCAGCUUUCUGGAUCAUUACUGACACUGAGGAACGAAAGCAUGGGUAGCGAAGAGGAUUAGAUACCCUCGUAGUCCAUGCCGUAAACGAUGUGUGUUAGACGUUGGAAAUUUAUUUUCAGUGUCGCAGCGAAAGCGAUAAACACACCGCCUGGGGAGUACGACCGCAAGGUUAAAACUCAAAUGAAUUGACGGGGACCCGCACAAGUAGUGGAGCAUGUGGUUUAAUUCGAAGAUACGCGCAGAACCUUACCAACACUUGACAUGUUCGUCGCGACUUUAAGAGAUUAAAGUUUUCGGUUCGGCCGGACGAAACACAGGUGCUGCAUGGCUGUCGUCAGCUCGUGUCGUGAGAUGUUGGGUUAAGUCCCGCAACGAGCGCAACCCUCACUUUUAGUUGCCAUCAUUAAGUUGGGCACUCUGAAAGAACUGCCAGUGAUAAGCUGGAGGAAGGUGGGGAUGACGUCAAGUCCUCAUGGCCCUUACGUGUUGGGCUACACACGUGCUACAAUGGUAUCUACAACAGGAAGCAAAACGGCGACGUUAAGCAAAUCCUUAAAAGAUACCUCAGUUCGGAUUGCACUCUGCAACUCGAGUGCAUGAAGCUGGAAUUACUAGUAAUCGUGGAUCAGCGUGCCACGGUGAAUGCGUUCCCGGGUCUUGUACACACCGCCCGUCACACCAUGGGAGUUGGUUCUAUCUUAAGGCAAGGUUUCAAACCCUUGACCACGGUAUAGUCAGCGACUGGGGUGAAGUCGUAACAAGGUAGCC